GGAAAAGAAACCAACAGGGAUUGCCCCAGUAACGGCGAGUGAAGCGGCAACAGCUCAAAUUUGAAAUCUGGCCUUCUGGUCCGAAUUGUAAUUUGUAGAGGAUGACUUUGGUUAGGUACCUUUCGAGUUCCUUGGAACAGGACGCCUUAGAGGGUGAGAGCCCCGUACGAUUGGAUGCCGAGCCUUUGUAAGUCUCCUUCGACGAGUCGAGUAGUUUGGGAAUGCUGCUCUAAAUGGGAGGUAAAUUUCUUCUAAAGCUAAAUACCGGCCAGAGACCGAUAGCGCACAAGUAGAGUGAUCGAAAGAUGAAAAGCACUUUGAAAAGAGGGUUAAAUAGUACGUGAAAUUGUUGAAAGGGAAGGGUUUAUGACCAGACCUUUGCGUUGGGAAUCAUCCGGUGUUCUCACCGGUGCACUUCCCUUCGUUGAGGCCAGCAUCAGUUUUGGUUGGGGGAUAAAGACAUUAGGAAUGUGAUUCCUCCGGGAAUGUUAUAGCCUUUUGUGUAAUACCCUGACCGGGACUGAGGACCGCGCUUCGGCUAGGAUGCUGGCAUAAUGGUCAUCAGCCACCCGUCUUGAAACACGGACCAAGGAGUCGAACAUUUAUGCGAGUGUUUGGGUGUUAAACCCUCACGCGUAAUUAAAGUGAACGGAGGUGAGAGCCCUUACGGGUGCAUCAUCGACCGAUCCUGAUGUCUUCGGAUGGAUUUGAGUAAGAGCAUAACUGUUCGGACCCGAAAGAUGGUGAACUAUGCGUGGAUAGGGUGAAGCCAGAGGAAACUCUGGUGGAGGCUCGCAGCGGUUCUGACGUGCAAAUCGAUCGUCAAAUCUGCGCAU
rnacentral:rRNA from 1 species